rnacentral:rRNA from 1 species
UUGGAGGGCAAGUCUGGUGCCAGCAGCCGCGGUAAUUCCAGCUCCAAUAGCGUAUAUUAAAGUUGUUGCAGUUAAAAAGCUCGUAGUUGAAUUUCGGGAUCAGACUGUCGGUCGUGCCUCGGUACGCACUAGCAUUAUUGGUUCCUACCUUCUGAAGAACCGCGAUGUCAUUAAUUUGGUGUCGUGGGGAAUCAGGACUGUUACUUUGAAAAAAUUAGAGUGUUUAAAGCAGGCGCAUGCUUGAAUACAUUAGCAUGGAAUAAUGAAAUAGGACGUUUGAUUCUAUUUUGUUGGUUUCUAGGAUCGACGUAAUGAUUAAUAGGGAUAGUUGGGGGCAUUAGUAUUCAAUUGUCAGAGGUGAAAUUCUUGGAUUUAUUGAAGACUAACUACUGCGAAAGCAUUUGCCAAGGAUGUUUUCAUUAAUCAAGAACGAAAGUUAGGGGAUCGAAGACGAUCAGAUACCGUCGUAGUCUUAACCAUAAACUAUGCCGACUAGGGAUCGGAUGAUGUUAAUUUUAUAAUGACUCAUUCGGCGCCUUACGGGAAAC